rnacentral:rRNA from 1 species
GUACACGCUGUGACUAGCAUAUCAAUAAGCGGAGGAAAAGAAACUAACAAGGAUUCCCCUAGUAACGGCGAGUGAAGCGGGAAGAGCUCAAAUUUGAAAUCUUAAAGGGUUUCCCUUUACGAAUUGUAGUUUAAAGAAGUGUUUUCUGUUGAGGUUUUGGUAAAAGUUCUUUGGAAUAGGACAUCAUAGAGGGUGAGAAUCCCGUAUUUGACCUUUACUUUCAACUUUGUGAUACACUUUCAAAGAGUCGGAUUGUUUGGGAAGUGCAGUCCAAAAUGGGUGGUAAAUUUCAUCUAAAGCUAAAUAUUGGCGAGAGACCGAUAGCGAACAAGUACCGUGAGGGAAAGAUGAAAAGAACUUUGAAAAGAGAGUUAAACAGUACGUGAAAUUGUCAAAAGGGAAGCGUUUGACACCAGUGUUGUUUUUCUGAAAAUCAAUUAAAGAACUGUUUAUGCUAAGUUGUUUAGACUUUAUCAGCUAACUGUUUAGUUUUGAGCUUUUCUUUAAUGCACUUUUCAGUUAACAAGUCAACAUCAAUUUCUUUUGCUGUAAAAAAGCUUGAGGAAGGUGGCUUGAGAUUCGUCUUAAGUGUUUAUAGCCUCCUGCCUAUGCAGUCGGAGAGAUUGAGGUCUGCAGCGUAGAUCCUUCGGGGCUAAAUGCAUUUGUGCUAAGUUAUAGCAUUUUAUAGACAACUUGUUGACUAUGAUUUGUCUUGUAGCUUACUCGCUUAUGUUAUUUUACCUACGCUUAGGAUGUUGACUGAUAUGUAGUCGUA